rnacentral:rRNA from 1 species
CUAGUGGGGAAUAUUGCACAAUGGGCGCAAGCCUGAUGCAGCCAUGCCGCGUGUAUGAAGUAAGGCCUUCGGGUUGUAAAGUACUUUCAGCAGUGAGGAAGGUGGGUUAUGUUAAUAGUCAUAUUCAUUUGACGUUUAGCUGCAGAAGAAGCACCGGCUAACUCCGUGCCAGCAGCCGCGGUAAUACGGAGGGUGCGAGCGUUAAUCGGAAUUACUGGGCGUAAAGCGCAUGCAGGUGGUUUGUUAAGUCAGAUGUGAAAGCCCGGGGCUCAACCUCGGAAUUGCAUUUGAAACUGGCAAACUAGAGUACUGUAGAGGGGGUAGAAUUUCAGGUGUAGCGGUGAAAUGCGUAGAGAUCUGAAGGAAUACCGGUGGCGAAGGCGGCCCCCCUGGACAGAUACUGACACUCAGAUGCGAAAGCGUGGGGAGCAAACAGGAUUAGAUACCCUGGUAG